rnacentral:rRNA from 1 species
UGGGGAAUAUUGGACAAUGGGGGAAACCCUGAUCCAGCAAUGCCGCGUGUGUGAAGAAGGCCUGCGGGUUGUAAAGCACUUUUAGUGGGAAAGAAAAGCUGAUAACGAAUACUUGUCAGUCUUGACGUUACUCAAAGAAAAAGCACCGGCUAACUCUGUGCCAGCAGCCGCGGUAAUACAGAGGGUGCAAGCGUUAAUCGGAAUUACUGGGCGUAAAGCGUGCGUAGGUGGUUAAGUCAGUCGGAUGUGAAAGCCCUGGGCUCAACCUGGGAACGGCAUUCGAUACUACUUGGCUAGAGUAUGGUAGAGGAAAGUGGAAUUCCACGUGUAGCGGUGAAAUGCGUAGAUAUGUGGAGGAACACCAGUGGCGAAGGCGGCUUUCUGGACCAAUACUGACACUCAGGCACGAAAGCGUGGGGAGCAAACAGG